CGGGUGAGUAACACGUGGGCAAUCUGCCCUGCACUCUGGGACAAGCCCUGGAAACGGGGUCUAAUACCGGAUACUCACUGCCUUGGGCAUCCUUGGUGGUGGAAAGCUCCGGCGGUGCAGGAUGAGCCCGCGGCCUAUCAGCUAGUUGGUGAGGUAAUGGCUCACCAAGGCGACGACGGGUAGCCGGCCUGAGAGGGCGACCGGCCACACUGGGACUGAGACACGGCCCAGACUCCUACGGGAGGCAGCAGUGGGGAAUAUUGCACAAUGGGCGAAAGCCUGAUGCAGCGACGCCGCGUGAGGGAUGACGGCCUUCGGGUUGUAAACCUCUUUCAGCAGGGAAGAAGCGAAAGUGACGGUACCUGCAGAAGAAGCGCCGGCUAACUACGUGCCAGCAGCCGCGGUAAUACGUAGGGCGCAAGCGUUGUCCGGAAUUAUUGGGCGUAAAGAGCUCGUAGGCGGCUUGUCACGUCGGUUGUGAAAGCCCGGG
rnacentral:rRNA from 1 species